AAGACUAUAUUUUCAGGGAUCAUUUCUAUAGUUUCUGACUUGAGAAACGUGUUUCUAGCUUGUAUGGUCUCGCUAACCAUGAUGAUGAGUUGUGGGAUUCCCUUCUGAGCAUGAAGCGGAUAGAGAGUAAUGAUUCAGUUCAUAUGUUUUCUAUCAUUGAUGAUUGUUCUUGACUUCUUUGUAGAGUAAUGAGGAAGGGAAUAUGAUCAUAGUGGU